CUGACUGAUUCAUCAUCAAAGAAAAAGUGUCAAAUAAAGUGACGUUGACAGCCGACAAAAGGGAGCACUAAUGCAAUCUAUUUUUGCUUAUAAGAAAACUGCCGUAUACGGCCCGCUGGAUCAUUUUAGACUCGGAUGAUCAAUUUUAAAAUACUUGAAAUGUAAGUCACGUAAAGAUUGCUUUCAGUUUAUGAUGUUAAUACUAUCUCUAACCAGGAGAGGUCGCUAGUUUCUAGCCGCUCCUUCAGUGUAGUUACACUAUUAUUAGCAAAUAAUAAAUGAAAAACUGACCAUGUAAACAGCAUUUUCCAGUCAAGAUGGUAAACAGAUUAUCUUUUCACCAAGUUCAAGGGGAUACUUAUAUGUUUGGAGUGUUUGGAAAUCUGUUAUUUAACUCGUCAUCACACCGCUACGCACAAACAACGGGGACGCCAGAGUUGCACUUGCCUCAAAUUUCAAAGAAUUUCCAAGACAAACUUGGCGACGAGUGACGGGAUUCCACAGCUGAUCGUCCGGGACCUGAGGACGUUAAUUGGCUGAUCACCCUAAACCCACAAAGGGUUUAGCUCUAAACCCCAAAAGGCUUCAGGGAAGGGGGUACUGACGUCUGAGGGCUUGUGGACCUUCACUGCUGGUUUCUCAACUGAUCAGAAAACGCGUGCUACAAACGGUGAGACUGAUUUUGAAAUUCCAAUAACCUUGAAAAUUUACAAAUUGGGGUUUUAAUUUGGCAAAUUAAGAUCUGGUAUUUCCAGACUUUACUGGCCUAAAACCUCCAUUGAUGCAAGUCCGAGCCAUCCCGUUUCACGAGUAAGUGAAUCCAGGUUUCGCAGGUGAGUGAAAAUAGGUCUGCGAGUAAGCAGGAACGUCUUGCAAGGAAGCAAGACAGGGGGGUGAUAAGGCAAGAUUUUGUGCGAGUAAGUGCGAAGCCACACAGUAUUGACGACUACGUGUGAGGCAAAGAGGACGCGUUCCAGGUAAAGUCUUGGAUUGGAAAAAUGGGGUCUGGGAAUGUCAAAUCUAAGAUAGAUCUUGAUGAUUUGGACAGUCCAAUUUACAAUGACAUGAAAAAGAAAAAAUGGGAAAAUAAUUAUGGAAGUCAUACCCUGGGUUUAGAAUCAUGGUUUUCCAAAAAAAAAAGAAAAGGUACAGUACCUAUAGCAUAACAGCCCUGAACAGAGUAAAAGAGAGCUUAGAAAAAUGUGAAAACAAAUUAAGAGAACAUAAAAAGCGGAAAAACAAACAAAAAAAAACAAGUUUGAGAAACAUAGGAAUUUUUAUUUUUAUUAAAUUACAGGCGUGAAACAACAGAACGCAGAGAAAUACAUUUCAAUGCUAUUUAGGAAUUAACUAAAAAUUAAAGUUCUGUAGCAUGUGAAGAUAAAAGAACAGAUCAUACUACUCAGAAUUCUUCUCUUUAUCCCCUUAGACAUUUGCAGUGUGCCAAAGUGGACUUUGAUCUGGACUCCUGGCUUCACCCCUAUCGACAAAUACCACAGCAGACUCAGAUUCAACCACCACUGCUGCCACCACCGCUGCCUCCAUCCUACAGCGCAACUGCAUCUGCGCCGCAGCCCUUGCCGCCGCAACAACUUCAACAGCAUCAUCAUCAUCAUCCAGACCAUCUGCUCUGCCACCAGCAACGGUGUAAGAGCAAUGAAAUGCUCAGUUACUGGAGUCAGUGCCAGAUCUAAAGCUCAUGAGAGAGUGACACUGCAGCCGGACAGCCUGAACAAGGAUGAACUGAAUGAAUGAGGAGAGCACAUCGGAGCUUUCCCCAUGAUUUAAGUGGCUGGGCUGAACAGAACUGUGAUGGUCUCUUGACCAUGGAACUAAAAUGACUUGAAAGAGGCUAUGACACACUUGCUUCACCCCAAAGACUCUAGAGAAAAUUUUGCAAAGGAUUUGUACAUGUUCUGUCAAGAAUUCAGCCCCACCAUGCAAGAACUGAAACAUUUGCUUAUGCUCAAAUUGGGGGCAACAGACUGGCACAAGAUAAGACCACAUUUUCCAACGGGCAAUGCCCAAAGGAAGAAUGCAGACUGGAAUCAUGCCGACAGCAAGGCAUAUCGUCAAGCAGUGGAAAUACUGUGUCAACGGAUCAAAACUGACUUUUCAGUCAGAGUGAACACAACCAAAAUCAUGCAGACGAGGCAGAGGACAAAGACGGUCUCAGAUUGAUCCAGAUGUUUGAUUUUACAGGUGGAGAGGGGACAUUGGAAUAUUUCACUGUCCACAUUUGAUCAAUCAAACUGCGGCUGGACCAGAGAAAGCUAAGGCAGACUGACAACAGAGACUUUCACAUCAGGAGCCGGAGAAGGAAGGGGGAGUCGGGAGCAAAGUCCACCAAGGCCAUGCAUCACAAGCAGAUAAGUCUGAAACACACACACACACACACACACACACACACACACACACACACACACACACACACACACACACACACACACACACACACACACAAACUCAGCUAA